AAACUUCUUCGUCAUUAUCUCUCAGUACCCCAAGUUUUUUUAAAUUGCGAGUUAUCGCUAAAUGUCGUUCUGUGUAACAUCAACGUCACUUGACUACGACGUUGGGGGUUUAACAAGAAACAGAACGCAAAGGAGACUGAAAUGGCGGGAUUCAGGAUUCUACGAAGUCGUGGGAAUAACUGGGAAACGGUAUAAGCAAAACUAUGAUUUACGGAAAUCGUGUGCGAUAGUGAUGAGCACGGAUUAAGGAUAAGAAACAAAAUAUUUGUGAAGAGAAUAAGAAAUUUAUGCAAUGUGAUUUAUCAAGGUA